rnacentral:rRNA from 1 species
UACGAAGGGGACUAGCGUUGUUCGGAAUUACUGGGCGUAAAGCGCACGUAGGCGGCUUUGUAAGUCAGGGGUGAAAUCCCGGGGCUCAACCUCGGAACUGCCUUUGAUACUGCAAAUCUCGAGUCCGAUAGAGGUGGGUGGAAUUCCUAGUGUAGAGGUGAAAUUCGUAGAUAUUAGGAAGAACACCGGUGGCGAAGGCGGCCCACUGGAUCGGUACUGACGCUGAGGUGCGAAAGCGUGGGGAGCAAACAGG